rnacentral:rRNA from 1 species
AUACGGAGGAUGCAAGCGUUAUCCGGAUUUAUUGGGUUUAAAGGGAGCGUAGGUGGACAGUUAAGUCAGUUGUGAAAGUUUGCGGCUCAACCGUAAAAUUGCAGUUGAUACUGGCUGUCUUGAGUACAGUAGAGGUGGGCGGAAUUCGUGGUGUAGCGGUGAAAUGCUUAGAUAUCACGAAGAACUCCGAUUGCGAAGGCAGCUCACUGGACUGCAACUAACACUGAUGCUCGAAAGUGUGGGUAUCAAACAGGAUUAGAUACCCUGGUAGUCCACACAGUAAACGAUGAAUACUCGCUGUUUGCGAUAUACAGUAAGCGGCCAAGCGAAAGCAUUAAGUAUUCCACCUGGGGAGUACGCCGGCAACGGUGAAACUCAAAGGAAUUGACGGGG